GCGGCAGUGCCCGAGCGGAAGAAGGGAGCAGUUUGCAAAACUGACGGCUUAGUUGCCCGCGUCGGUUCGAAUCCGACCUGCCGCU
rnacentral:tRNA from 1 species